GAGUGCCUGUGUACCUGGAGUUUGAUGAACAACGGGAUGCCCUUUUCUCAUAUAUUGAGAGAUUUCUGAGAACUGUACAAACAGCAUUCCCUAUUAGAGAUCGUGUGCAGUUCAUUCUGGAUGUCUUAUUCCCUGAGUCCAUCAUCCAUGCCCUGGCUGCUCUACAGGGUGUAUCAGGACAGGAGGCAGAAGACUAAUUUCUUGGUGGCCCAGAAUACAGUAUCAGUGAAGUGGAAGAAUUUAACCGAAAGAUAGGGCAGCAAUUAAAGAAGGAGGGAAUGCUGUGAUAUCUGUUGGAAUAGAAGAUGAUGCUACUGCCCAGUGCUUCCAGAAUCCUUCAUUUGAGUCUUGGGUCUGAGUCUACUGCGUCAUUGCCAAGUAUUCUGGGAUAAUGUAUCUUGUUUUGUUUACAUUUUGUUUUUCUUCAUAUUCCAAGCUCAUUUACUUGACUUUAGUUUUAAUAAACUGGAUGGCUGUCUCCUUCACAAUUGAUUUUAAAGUACUAUACUAUUCAUUACAUAAAAAGCUCUGAACAAUUUAGUCCCUUCCAGUAUUUGGUACUGUCUCUCCCCCAUCACUCCUCAGUGUAAUCUUUAAUCCACAACCACUAAUUAGCUUAUGAAAGAACCGGUGAAGCAGCUUGCACAUGUAUACCAAAAAUAUAGAAUGCCGGCUAUAAAUGAAAAACCUUUCAAAAUACUUUUAAAACUCCAUUUUUAAACUUCACCUCUGCUUAAUUCCAACUUCUAUCAGUUGUAAUGCUUUAUGAAUGGAACUGCAUACACUUUGAAAGAUUUACACCAGAUAAUAACCAUUGUUUUUUUUGCUGUUUUUUUUUUUUUUUUUUUGUCCGGUGAUGCCCUUUGCCAUGCACCCUGGUCAAGUCUUGUGCAGCUGACUGUGGUGCUGAAGAGAGAAGAUUUCUGAAGACCCUCUUGAAUUGGAGCUGCAAUUGGAUUAACACUACAACAGUAUGCUGGCUGAGAAUGUCCACAGGGGCCUGGGGAGGCUGU